UACGAAGGGGGCUAGCGUUGCUCGGAAUUACUGGGCGUAAAGCGCACGUAGGCGGCUUCUUAAGUCGGUGGUGAAAUCCUGGAGCUCAACUCCAGAACUGCCUUCGAUACUGGGAGCUCGAGUCCGGGAGAGGUGAGUGGAACUGCGAGUGUAGAGGUGAAAUUCGUAGAUAUUCGCAAGAACACCAGUGGCGAAGGCGGCUCACUGGCCCGGUACUGACGCUGAGGUGCGAAAGCCAGGGGAGCAAAGCGGGG
rnacentral:rRNA from 1 species